rnacentral:rRNA from 1 species
AUCCCAAGUGCUUGUAUUCUAUACAGGCUUUUGCCAAGAGUAAAAACCUUGGCGAAUAAGUGGUGGGCAAGACUGGUGCCAGCCGCCGCGGUAACCCCAGCGCCACUAGUGGGAAUCACAUUUAUUUGGCCUAAAGCGUUCGUAGCCGGUCUCGUAAAUCCCUUGUGAAAUCGCUCUGCCUAACAGAGCGGCGUGCAGGGGAGACUGCAAGACUUGGGACUGGGAGGAGUCAGAAGUAUGCGUGGGGGAGCAGUAAAAUGCUAUAAUCCCAUGUAGACUACCUGUGGCGAAGGCGUCUGACCAGAACAGUUCCGACGGUGAGGGACGAAAGCGAGGGGAGCAAUCCGGAUUAGAUACGAGAGAUCACGUCUGACCUCUGGAGUUAGCUCGUAAAUUGCUUCUAUUAGACUAUUGCGAGACAACGAAAGAAGUCGCUAAAUGAUGAUUUUUCGCUAACUACCCGAGUAGUCCUCGCUGUAAACUCUGCGAGCAAGGUGUUGCAUAUUCUUCGUGGAUAUGCAGUGUCGAAACGAAGGUGUUUAGCUCGCCGCCUGGGGAGUACGGUCGCAAGACUGAAAC